GCUUAUAUAGUUUAAUUUUUUUUUGAAUAAUAUUUUGAAAAGAUAUAGGUUUUUUAAGCG
rnacentral:tRNA from 1 species